CCUACGGGGUGCAUCAGUGAGGAAUAUUGGUCAAUGGACGAGAGUCUGAACCAGCCAAGUAGCGUGAAGGAUGACUGCCCUAUGGGUUGUAAACUUCUUUUAUAUGGGAAUAAAAUGUUCCACGUGUGGGAUUUUGUAUGUACCAUAUGAAUAAGGAUCGGCUAACUCCGUGCCAGCAGCCGCGGUAAUACGGAGGAUCCGAGCGUUAUCCGGAUUUAUUGGGUUUAAAGGGAGCGUAGGUGGAUUGUUAAGUCAGUUGUGAAAGUUUGCGGCUCAACCGUAAAAUUGCAGUUGAAACUGGCAGUCUUGAGUACAGUAGAGGUGGGCGGAAUUCGUGGUGUAGCGGUGAAAUGCUUAGAUAUCACGAAGAACUCCGAUUGCGAAGGCAGUUCACUGGACUGCAACUGACACUGAGGCUCGAAAGUGUGGGUAUCAAACAGGAUUAGAUACCCUGGUAGUC
rnacentral:rRNA from 1 species